AUUUUGGGGGUUAUGGUACCAACAGUUAUGGAAUUGGGGGCCAAAAAUAAGCAUUUUUGUAACUUUCAGACAUAACUUGUGUGUAAGUGUAUGGAUCUCUCUGACAUUGUACCGCAAGGUUCCAUAUCACAAAGGGAAUGCUGGGAUUGAUUUUGGGGGUAAUUGCCUCCAAAUUUUAGGAAUUAGGGGCCAAAAAGGGGCAAAAAACAAGCAUUUUUCUAGUUUCAUGACAAUAACUUGUGUGUAAGUGUAUGUAUCUCUCUGACAUUGUAUCACAAGGUUCCAUAUCACAAAGAGAAUGCUGGGAUUGAUUUUGGGGGUAAUUGCCUCCAACUUUUAGGAAUUAGGGGCCAAAAAGGGGAAAAAAACAAGCAUUUUUCUAGUUUCAUGACAAUAACUUGUGUGUUAGUGUAUGGAUCUUUAUGAAAUUGUACAAGGUUCCAUAUCACAAAGGGAAAGCUGGGUUUGAGUUUGGGGGUAAUUGCCCUAAACGUUUAGGAAUUU